rnacentral:rRNA from 1 species
AUGGAGUUAAGUUUGCCUCGUACGCUUCGUCUUUUUAAUAUAUUUCGUGAGAAUGAUGGAAAUGAAAAUUGUGCUCAAGUGCUAGAAGAAGAAUGCAUUAGAAUGUUUGGCAAUAAAUAUUUGAAUGAUGAGCAUGAUUGCAAUGUUGUUAGUAUGAAUUCCUUGAAUAUCCAUGAUGCUAAUGAUAUGCAAAGCCACAAGCUUGGGGAUGCUAUGUUUGAUGAAUAUGAUAUUUUCUGUCCCCCAAGUUUUGAUGAGAAUAUUUAUUAUGAUGAAAGCAUGCCUCCUAUUUCUGAUGAUUAUAUUGAUGAAAGUGGGUUUGGAAGAGUGUCAACUUUAGGUAGUAUUGAUCCCACUAUUUUGGAGGAUAUUGAAUCUUAUUUUGAUGAAUAUGAAAGUGGAUUUGGAAGAGUGUCAACUUUAUUUUGUGAUGAUUCCACUAUUUCGGAAGAGGUUCCAAUUGAUUAUGAGAACACGGUUGCUAUCUAUGAUGAUUAUUGUGAUGACUUGUAUGCUAUUAAGAAUAAAAAUAAACAUGAAACUUGUCAUCAUGAUUUUAGUUAUCAAUUGGAUUAUGCCUCACAUGAUAGUUAUUUUGUUGAGUUUUCUCCCACUACCAUUCCGACUGAGAAGAAUUUUGCUUAUGUGGAGAGUAGUAAAUUUUCUAUGCUUGUAGAUAUGAAAAGAAUGCUUUAG